rnacentral:rRNA from 1 species
UGACCGCUGGCGGCGUGCCUAAUACAUGCACGUCGAGCGAACAGAUGAGGAGCUUGCUCCUCUGACGUUAGCGGCGGACGGGUGAGUAACACGUGGAUAACCUACCUAUAAGACUGGGAUAACUUCGGGAAACCGGAGCUAAUACCGGAUAAUAUAUUGAACCGCAUGGUUCAAUAGUGAAAGACGGUUUUGCUGUCACUUAUAGAUGGAUCCGCGCCGCAUUAGCUAGUUGGUAAGGUAACGGCUUACCAAGGCGACGAUGCGUAGCCGACCUGAGAGGGUGAUCGGCCACACUGGAACUGAGACACGGUCCAGACUCCUACGGGAGGCAGCAGUAGGGAAUCUUCCGCAAUGGGCGAAAGCCUGACGGAGCAACGCCGCGUGAGUGAUGAAGGUCUUCGGAUCGUAAAACUCUGUUAUUAGGGAAGAACAAAUGUGUAAGUAACUAUGCACGUCUUGACGGUACCUAAUCAGAAAGCCACGGCUAACUACGUG